rnacentral:rRNA from 1 species
GGGGGGGGGGGGCGGGGGGGCUGGGGGGGGCGAGGCGGGCGGACAGAGGAGGAGCUUGCUCCUCUGACGUUAGCGGCGGACGGGUGAGUAACACGUGGAUAACCUACCUAUAAGACUGGGAUAACUUCGGGAAACCGGAGCUAAUACCGGAUAAUAUAUUGAACCGCAUGGUUCAAUAGUGAAAGACGGUUUUGCUGUCACUUAUAGAUGGAUCCGCGCCGCAUUAGCUAGUUGGUAAGGUAACGGCUUACCAAGGCAACGAUGCGUAGCCGACCUGAGAGGGUGAUCGGCCACACUGGAACUGAGACACGGUCCAGACUCCUACGGGAGGCAGCAGUAGGGAAUCUUCCGCAAUGGGCGAAAGCCUGACGGAGCAACGCCGCGUGAGUGAUGAAGGUCUUCGGAUCGUAAAACUCUGUUAUUAGGGAAGAACAAAUGUGUAAGUAACUAUGCACGUCUUGACGGUACCUAAUCAGAAAGCCACGGCUAACUACGUG